rnacentral:lncRNA from 1 species
CUUGUGGCCAGGGGCAGGUACCAUCCGCCUAGAGCAGGAUGUGUUUUCAGCCCUGGCAGGGCAGGGCCAGAUAUACGUGCAUCUCACUGAUGGUAUCUGGAGUCAGAUCAAGUCCGCAGGUUCAGCCCUCUACGCCUCCCGCCUCUACCUGAGCCGAUACCAGGACACUCACCCAGAACGGCUGGCCAAGCACACCCCAGGGGGCCCAUGGAUCCGAGGUACCCAGCCUGCCCCAAUUCCUAACCUUUGGCUUCCACCCCAGCCCUCUGAACCAGGAUUCUUGACCUCGAGUCCAGAGUUAAAGCCUCAAUCCCUGCCCCUUCCUGAUCAAAUUCGGUUUGGGAUAUUUGCCCCCAGGGCCUCUCUUCUGCUUCUAGGGAAUGUGUACAUCCACCCGACCGCCAAGGUGGCCCCCUCGGCUGUGGUGAGUGCUGGUCCCAGCCCCAGGGAGGGAAGGGUGGUGGUCGGAUGGAUGGAGGGUGCCCACGCUGCCUUGAGUUCUGGGUGCCGGUUUCUUCACUUUGUC